GAGGGAAACGUUACUGAUAAUAACUGGAUAAGUUAGUAUAUCGCAUGAUAUGCAAAAUGAAAGCUACGGCACUAAAGGAGAGCUUUGCGUCCUAUUAGCUAGUUGGUAAGGUAAGAGCUUACCAAGGCGAUGAUAGGUAGCCGGCCUGAGAGGGUGGACGGCCACAAGGGGACUGAGAUACGGCCCUUACUCCUACGGGAGGCAGCAGCA
rnacentral:rRNA from 1 species